rnacentral:rRNA from 1 species
AUUGAACGCUAGCGGGAUGCUUUACACAUGCAAGUCGAACGGGGUGGCGGACGGGUGAGUAAUAUAUCGGAAAGUUCCCAGUUGCGGGGGAUAAAUUCUUGAAAGAGUGGCUAAUACCGCCUACCUAUUGAGCGGGCCAUAUCGGAUUAGCUAGUUGGGGGGGUAAAGGCUCACCAAGGCAACGAUCCGUAGCUGGUUUGAGAGGACGACCAGCCACACUGGGACUGAGACACGGCCCAGACUCCUACGGGAGGCAGCAGUGGGGAAUUUUGGACAAUGGGGGAAACCCUGAUCCAGCCAUCCCGCGUGUAUGAUGAAGGCCUUCGGGUUGUAAAGUACUUUUGGCAGAGAAGCGGUAUCUGCAGAAUAAGCACCGGCUAACUACGUGCCAGCAGCCGCGGUAAUAC